GGAGAGGUCGCAUAGGGGCCGAUUGCGGCCGGUUGCUAACCGGCUAAAGGGCUGCCCGCUCUUUCGUGGGUUCGAAUCCUACCCUCUCCGCCA
rnacentral:tRNA from 1 species